CCAUGUGCCACCUCACCAGCAUGAGAUAAAUGACCAGUCCAGAAGAGCUGAAAUAAAAUCCCUCUGGAGGGUGUGCUCUGCUUUCUGUCAGCCUCUCCAGGAGCCCUUCCCCAGGGCAUUCCAGGUGAACACAAGGAUCUUGGUUUGUAUUGCUGUUUAAUUGCUCACCUAUAGCAGCAGCAUUCUAAGACAUGAGCCCUCAGCAAAUCCAGCAUGUGUGUCUGGCCCUGCCCUGACUAUUCAAACACGCAGCCACAUCAGUGCUGCUCGUUUGGAAGGCGAUGACAAGGGUCAUCAUUUUAUUCUUUAUCUCCCGUUUCACCUGCUCCUGAAUGCCAGAGCAAGGCAGGAAACAGCAUCCUGGGGAGCUCGGGGGUGUGGAUGACAACCCUGCCAUGCCUGGCUGUUCAUCAGGGUGUCACAGGAGGAUGAGGAGCAGCGGGAGGCAGAGCUGAGCAUCCGUGCCCGCAGCCCUGGUGGGAGGGAGAUGAUGGUGCCAGCCCUGCCAGCCACGUGCGGAGAAGCCAAAGGGCAGAAUCGCCGUGCCAGGGCUGUGUUUUUGGGAAAAAGAUUUUGUUCGGCCGCUUUCCACUCACGCGGCAUUUACGUGCCUAAAAGGAUUCGGCUGUCACAGCUGACAAGCGCUGGAAAGCUCUUGUUCAGGUCAGUGCUAUCAGAGAAAUGUCUCUCCUACAACAUCCCAGUGCAGCAGGGCCACUGGCACUGGGAGACAGGGACUGGUGUCAAGGCACUGUGCUGCAGACAGGAUGGUGACCUGCUGUCCCAGCUCCUCCCGAGGAGAGCCGUGCGACUCUGCUCCAGAUAAGUGCAAAAAAACCCCAGCUCUAAACAUCUCUGACCUUUAAAUUCAGGCUGCAGCGAACAGAACUGUUGCUAACCAAAAACCCAGGCUUGCUUUCAUGUGUCUGAACGUUCAGGGAAUAGAUGUAGCUUAACAUGCAAAUGCUGGGCUUCCUGCAGCACGCCGCUGCUUUUCAAGCUCUCUCAUUUCAUGCUGUUACCUCCAUCCCUGCUGUGCCUGUGAAAAGAGCCUCUCUGAGGAAAAGUUUCCCACAGACACAAAAUCCGAGUGAUGUGGUAUAAAAAACCCAACGAGCAG
rnacentral:lncRNA from 1 species